UGGGGAAUAUUGGACAAUGGGGGCAACCCUGAUCCAGCAAUGCCGCGUGUGUGAAGAAGGUCUUCGGAUUGUAAAGCACUUUCGACGGGGACGAUGAUGACGGUACCCGUAGAAGAAGCCCCGGCUAACUUCGUGCCAGCAGCCGCGGUAAUACGAAGGGGGCUAGCGUUGCUCGGAAUGACUGGGCGUAAAGGGCGUGUAGGCGGUUUACACAGUCAGAUGUGAAAUCCCCGGGCUUAACCUGGGAGCUGCAUUUGAUACGUGUAGACUAGAGUGUGAGAGAGGGUUGUGGAAUUCCCAGUGUAGAGGUGAAAUUCGUAGAUAUUGGGAAGAACACCGGUGGCGAAGGCGGCAACCUGGCUCAUGACUGACGCUGAGGCGCGAAAAGCGUGGGGAGCAAACAGGAUUAGAUACCCUGGUAGUCCACGCUGUAAACGAUGUGUGCUAGAUGUUGGGUAACUUUGUUAUUCAGUGUCGCAGUUAACGCGUUAAAGCACACCGCCUGGGGAGUACGGCCGCAAGGUUGA
rnacentral:rRNA from 1 species